UACCCAGAAUCAAAAUGAAAUUUCAGGGGAC
rnacentral:piRNA from 1 species